rnacentral:rRNA from 1 species
GAUGAACGCUGGCGGCGUGCCUAAUACAUGCAAGUCGAGCGAACGGACGGGAAGCUUGCUUCUCUGAUGUUAGCGGCGGACGGGUGAGUAACACGUGGAUAACCUACCUAUAAGACUGGGAUAACUUCGGGAAACCGGAGCUAAUACCGGAUAAUAUUUUGAACCGCAUGGUUCAAAAGUGAAAGACGGUCUUGCUGUCACUUAUAGAUGGAUCCGCGCUGCAUUAGCUAGUUGGUAAGGUAACGGCUUACCAAGGCAACGAUGCAUAGCCGACCUGAGAGGGUGAUCGGCCACACUGGAACUGAGACACGGUCCAGACUCCUACGGGAGGCAGCAGUAGGGAAUCUUCCGCAAUGGGCGAAAGCCUGACGGAGCAACGCCGCGUGAGUGAUGAAGGUCUUCGGAUCGUAAAACUCUGUUAUUAGGGAAGAACAUAUGUGUAAGUAACUGUGCACACCUUGACGGUACCUAAUCAGAAAGCCACGGCUAACUACGUG